ensembl:lncRNA ANKRD36BP2 ankyrin repeat domain 36B pseudogene 2
GGGCGUUUCUGCUGAGAGGCGGGAGGGGCUGAGAGUCUGUGCGAAGGUAGGUGGACAGACUGCAUUGCUUGUUGUUGCGCUUCGGAGGCGGCGAUCCCCGAAGGCGAGCUGAAAUACGGCUGGAGCGUUCCCAGGCUACAGUUUGUAGCCGACGAUUGUGGAAGACUAGGAGCCGGAGAGGUGGCCCACCCUCAGGGAGCGCUUGUGCUCGGAGGGCUUCUCAUUUCCCCAAUACCACAUUAAAUCGUCUCAUCUGAGGAGGAUCCACAGAGCUGUCUUCUAUGGUAAUCUGGAGAAACUGGAGUACCUUCUGCUCACGUAUCAUGACACCAAUGAGAGAGACAAGGAGGAAAGCUUACCCUGAAAGAAGCAGAUCCCAGUUCAAAAGUAGCCAUAAGAAGGAAGGAUUCACCACCUCCAGGAAAAGGUUGCCUGUUCACUCUGAUCGUAGUAUUGGAAGUUCUGGCCAAGGCAAUCAGACAAGAGGAAAAAAUAAAGGGUAUUCAAAUAGGAA